rnacentral:rRNA from 1 species
CAGUCGCCACGGUAACACAGAGGGUGCGAGCGUUAAUCGGAUUUACUGGGCGUAAAGCGUGCGUAGGCGGCUUCUUAAGUCGGAUGUGAAAUCCCUGAGCUUAACUUAGGAAUUGCAUUCGAUACUGGGAAGCUAGAGUAUGGGAGAGGAUGGUAGAAUUCCAGGUGUAGCGGUGAAAUGCGUAGAGAUCUGGAGGAAUACCGAUGGCGAAGGCAGCCAUCUGGCCUAAUACUGACGCUGAGGUACGAAAGCAUGGGGAGCAAACAGGAUUAGAUACCCCCGUAGUCCCUGUCUCUUAUAC